UACGAAGGGGGCUAGCGUUGCUCGGAUUUACUGGGCGUAAAGGGCGCGUAGGCGGAUGCUUAAGUCAGAGGUGAAAGCCCAGGGCUCAACCUUGGAACUGCCUUUGAUACUGGGCAUCUUGAGUAUGGGAGAGGUGAGUGGAACUCCGAGUGUAGAGGUGAAAUUCGUAGAUAUUCGGAAGAACACCAGUGGCGAAGGCGACUCACUGGCCCAUCACUGACGCUGAGGCGCGAAAGCGUGGGGAG
rnacentral:rRNA from 1 species